ACAUGCGAUCAUACCAGCACUAGCGCAUCGGAUCCCAUUAAAACUCUGAAGUUAGGCGUGCUUGGAAGAAAGGAGUACAAGGAUGGGUGACCUCCUUGGAAGUCCUCGUGUUCCAUCCC
rnacentral:rRNA from 1 species